UACGGAGGGGACUAGCGUUGUUCGGAAUUACUGGGCGUAAAGCGCACGUAGGCGGAUUUGUAAGUCAGGGGUGAAAUCCCGGGGCUCAACCCCGGAACUGCCUUCGAUACUGGCGAUCUUGAGUCCGGAAGAGGUGAGUGGAACUCCUAGUGUAGAGGUGGAAUUCGUAGAUAUUAGGAAGAACACCAGUGGCGAAGG
rnacentral:rRNA from 1 species